rnacentral:rRNA from 1 species
AUUGAACGCUGGCGGCAUGCCUUACACAUGCAAGUCGAACGACGCUAGGGGCAACUCUAGCGAGUGGCGAACGGGUGAGUAAUGCAUCGGAACGUGCCCUCUUGUGGGGGAUAACCAGUCGAAAGAUUGGCUAAUACCGCAUGAGCUCGAGAGAGGAAAGCGGGGGACCGCAAGGCCUCGCGCGAGAGGAGCGGCCGAUGCCCGAUUAGCUAGUUGGUGGGGUAAUGGCCCACCAAGGCGACGAUCGGUAGCUGGUCUGAGAGGACGACCAGCCAAACUGGGACUGGGACACGGCCCAGACUCCUACGGGAGGCAGCGGUGGGGAAUUUUGGGCAAGGGGGGCAACCCUAAUCCAGCCAUGCCGGGUGUGUGAAGAAGGCCUUCGGGUUGUAAAGCACUUUCGGACGGAACGAAAUCGCGCGGGUGAACAAUCCGCGUGGAUGACGGUACCGUAAGAAGAAGCACCGGCUAACUACGUGCCAGCCGCCGCGGUAAAAC